UACGAAGGUGGCAAGCGUUACUCGGAAUUACUAGGCGUAAAGGGCAGGUAGGUGGUUUGGUAAGUCUAUUGUGAAAGCUCCUGGCUUAACUGGGAGAGGUCAAUGGAUACUGCCGGACUUGAGUGUGGGAGAGGUUACUGGAAUUCCCGGAGUAGCGGUGAAAUGCGCAGAGAUCGGGAGGAACACCAAUGGCGAAAGCAGGUAACUGGACCAUUACUGACACUCAGCUGCGAAAGCUAGGGGAGCAAACAGG
rnacentral:rRNA from 1 species